GCCUUCUGUCCAAGUCACAAUCAUGAAGAAUCUUCCUCAUUUUCUUUAACCACGUAAGAGGACAAAAUAGAACCGCACUGCAGUUGUUUCCUGGCCUGCUCAACCCACACCCAGUUUGGACUGUGACACAAACAACACUCAGGAGGACCUGCAGAAGGAGCCCCGUGCCCUGCGGGGCCUUGAGCGCAACCACGGACCCCGCCCCUGCCAGGGCAAACGUGUCUAGUCCACCGCCAGCGUGGACACAGCAUUCCGGGCAGCCAUGGCCGGUCGAGCCCCAGCCGACCUGCAGGAGGAGGCCCGACACUCGUCCGUCGUGGGACCCGAAUCCAUGGAGUUGAUUUGUUUCGGCGAGAUGCAAAGAAACCCGCUUGUGUUUGAGUCUCGGAAAGACGGAACUCCUGUAAAGCGCGACCGGUGAGAUGCUGGGCACGUGCUGCAGAUGGCGCAGCUCUAGCCGGGACGAGGUCGGGCGUCAUCGAGGGGACUGUGCCAGCCAGCCCGACCUGAGAUGCGAACGCGGCUCCAUGGCCCCAGCACACCAGGACCUUCUCCAAACCUUGGUGUUGUCCCUGAAAACAAAACCCGUGUGUGGUGUCUGACCCAGCAGGCCUCCCGAGGGCAGCGUGAAAACCGUUCUCUGGGUCAGUCCCAACUCCCGAAACGUUUCACAGGGGAAAAAUGCUAGAAGUAAACAAAGCAUGAAUAACGGC